rnacentral:rRNA from 1 species
CCUUACCAACCCUUGACAUCCUAGGACAACUCCAGAGAUGGAGCCUUCCUUCGGGACCUAGUGACAGGUGCUGCAUGGCUGUCGUCAGCUCGUGUCGUGAGAUGUUCGGUUAAGUCCGGCAACGAGCGCAACCCACGUCUUUAGUUGCCAGCAGCUCGGCUGGGCACUCUAAAGAAACUGCCCGUGAUAAGCGGGAGGAAGGUGUGGAUGACGUCAAGUCCUCAUGGCCCUUACGGGUUGGGCUACACACGUGCUACAAUGGUGCCUACAGUGGGUUAAUCUCCAAAAGGCAUCUCAGUUCGGAUUGGGGUCUGCAACUCGACCCCAUGAAGUCGGAAUCGCUAGUAAUCGCGUAACAGCAUGACGCGGUGAAUACGUUCCC